UUUCUCUCAUUUUUUCCCUUACUCUAGUUAAUUGGUACUGCACUUGUUACUGCAAUAGCAGGUAUUAUGGUGUUGUUCUUGCGAAUAUAGUUCUAUGUAUUAAUUAGCCAAUUAAUAUCGGAGAAUAAUUGGAGAUAAGAUCGAAAUAAGAUUGCGCUUCAGGGUAUAAUUUGUUUAAUCUGGAAUAUAAAAAUAUUAGAUAUAUGUAUGCAUACUUGAUUUGCAAGUUGCUAUUUUGUUAAACAUUUUCGUUGCCAAUAACAAUACGUAUAUAUUAAUAAUCAGAUACUAUGUAUAUUAUUAUUACCUACUACUUUAGAUGAAUGAUGAACGAUAGUUUGGUUUAUUCAUUGAGUAAGCUCGGUGGUUUAGUUCAUAUUCUUUACCUUCGGCGUACAUAGUUAUUGUUUGCACCGAAGGGUGGCGUUAAAUACUCCGUCCUAAUCAAUCGAUCCAAGCGUUCAAUGACGGCCAUUUGGUAAAACAAUUCUCUCUGCGGUUAAGAUAUUUUUGCAAAAGCAUUCUAGUUUCUUUUAUACCAAUCAAUGUAUUCAUGGAAUCAAGGGAGCAAGUGCAAUUUAGAUCAAAGCCAACCAGUUUUCAUCAUCCAUUGAUGCGUGCUACCAUUGAUCGUUUGACUUUCCGUAUCUGCUUGUAUCACCGUCAUCCCUCCCACCACGCCACUUUGGAAGCUGCUCAGCGAAACUAAGGUGCGACGAGUCCAUUCAGUUGUCUUCUUUUCUAUCGAUAACAUGGAUCACGUUGCGUCAGGUUAUCGAUCGAUGGCAGGGAUAAUAUAGAAGUAACAGGAAUAUUAAUAUAUGGACGCAACGACGAUCAACGAUCAGUCUGAUGAAUUUUCAUGGAAAUCUGGUAACGUUUAAUUUAUUUUAACUAAGACAGCUGUGUAUGAACGGUUCUAUUGCCUUUUUAUUCGAGCAUGGGCAACAUUUGAUAUACAAUUUAUGUCUACUUUAAAAUAUACUUGAUACAUAUUUCAUAAUAGAUCGUUUCGUAAUUAUUUGGAAUAUUAAGAUGAAAGUAAAUACGAUUAAACAAAUCACUUUUUUUCAUUCAAAUAUAUGAAAUCAUUCUCUUAUUUCAAACGAACUUGUAACAAAUUAUUUUAUUGUUUCAAUGUAAUUCAUAAUGUAGAAUUCUUGAUAAUUUAACGAUAGCUUCGUGUAGACAGUUUGAAACAUAGAAAUCUUAACAAUAACAGCUUUAACUAUUUCGAUAGGUAUUGUAACACACUAGGUAUUGGUAUAUCGAAUUCAAAUUAUUUUUCUAUAUUACGUGAAUUUGCUAUAGUUUCCGUCAUAUAUUGCAACUUUGUAACUUGUGUCUUUUUCAUAGAGGUGGCGCGCAAAUAGACUGAAAUACUUGAAAGCAAGGCUUCGCGCGCGUUUCUCUAGCAUUCUUUAAGCAUUCUUUUAGUCGUGAACUUUUGAAUUCUUGGAAAUAUUUUCGGAUAUUUAUAACACGCGACCGUUGUGUGUUAACUAUGUUUCGUGUUCUAAUAACGAACAUUCGUGGUAUGAUUCUCGCAAAUGAAACGAUCGAUUCCCUAUUUCGGUUAGGACAAUAGAGGUGGUUAUAUGAAGUAUUACACUGAGAUAACGGUUUACAAUUCGCACUUUAUUCCAACAACUUUGUAGAGAAGAUAGUUGGGCUGGUGCGUAUAGAUAAGUGAAGUAGGUGACUGAUCUAAGGGUGGAAACCCGGUCAAGAGAUGUCGACUGUUCUAAAGAUGGAAAAUCAGUAAAGUUCGGUGACGAUGCUAUUGUCACGUAAAAUAACAAAAUGAAAAAAGAAUUUGAGGUAAAAAAUAAAAAAAAGAAAACUUUAUUUUUUUUCUAACAUCAAUACACUUUACAAUCUACUUCCGAACUCUAGGCGUGACUUUCUAAGACUGACUCUUACGAUUUUACUUUCGAUCGGAUCCGAUUACUUUCUUUUGUCAUCCCUCGACAUCCCCACCGUCCAUGC